UUGAGCCAACUUCUGUUUUCUAGCCAUCUAAACAAAAGUGUAAUUUUACUUUUAAUUGCCCCAUAGUAGGUAUAGGCGAUGCAUGCAUGAUGCAUUAGAAAAAGAAUCAGGAAAAAAGAAAAAAAGAAAAAGAAUCAGGACUGCUGUCUGGACUGGUUUCCCAAUUCCCCUUUCCCGGGGAGAGCCCUGGUACCAGCUGUGCACUUCUGUAUACUUGUGUAUCCUGCCAGAGACAGUCCCUUCCAGACCCACGUAAUGCAAAAUCUACACAUUAAGAAAACAAAGAGAUUAAUAGCUACUCAUGUCACAAGGACAUUUUAACAUGUGAUUCGUAGAAGACAGCUGGAGCCUCACAUCUGUUUCUGCACUCGAUCUGUUGUGAUGUGUUAUUUUGAUUCAAGUGCAUGAAGGAAAGCCAGAUUCACACAGGUGCAGGGGAACGAACAACCAUCUGGGAAGAUGCUGGACUGGUUAGGAGUGCUUUCGGCUGCAGAUAAGAGAAACAUCUCCUCAAAAUCCUGAAUAAAAGCCAUGUGACAAGAUGUCCGGAGUCCUGAGGUUACUGGAGUUGGUUCAGGGCCUCUGUCACAGUCAGAGAUGGCAGCUGAGGCUACAAUGAUCAUAGUCACAUUCAAGGCAGGAAGAAAGUGGUCUCGUUUUAUCAGGAAAGUAAACA